UACGAAGGGGGGCUAGCGUUGCUCGGAAUCACUGGGCGUAAAGCGCACGUAGGCGGAUCUUUAAGUCAGGGGUGAAAUCCUGGAGCUCAACUCCAGAACUGCCUUUGAUACUGGGGAUCUCGAGUCCGGAAGAGGUGAGUGGAACUCCGAGUGUAGAGGUGAAAUUCGUAGAUAUUCGGAAGAACACCAGUGGCGAAGGCGGCUCACUGGUCCGGUACUGACGCUGAGGUGCGAAAGCGUGGGGAGCAAACAGGG
rnacentral:rRNA from 1 species